GCCCCGUGAGUUCACCAACUCUGAACUUGUUUAGUUAAGGCCGUAUUACAGCAGAGGUUCCUUCCUCCCUUCGGAGAAAGGCGCCUCCCUCCUUGAUGGCCUGUUCCUUCUGCUGGGGUCUUGUUCACCAGGAUCUUUCAUUUAGAUUGUUUUUGCCACCAUGUCAUGGCUUUCCAUGCCUGUGAGACUCUCAUGGGCCUUUUAGCCAGAUCAGAAAGCCCCAAGGGUUGAUUCUGAGGCCGGAGUGCUGUUUUGGGCGUUUGCCAUUCUAUGAGUCUGCUGCGUGUCCUGCUUCCCCCGCAGGAUCAUUCUCUCCCUUUUAAUUCUAUUCUUCAUUAUUUGCAUUCACUGGUCUUAUUUGUGAAAUCUCUUCAACACUUACCCUAUCUUUUUGAUCAGUUAUGUACUUAUACUUAUCACUUUACCAAGUGCGCUGGCAUUGGUACAUGCCUCCUUGAUAAGGUUGAGUUGAAAUCCCCUGGCACAUUUCUAGUUCCACCAUUGGAGAUCCUGACUUCUUAACAAAUUGAAUGCCUGAUACAAGAAGAAGAAAAGGAGAAGGAAGAGGGGAAGGGGAGAGAUAAUAGCCUUAUCCUUCAAAGAUCAUUAUGAAGACCCAGACAGGUAAUAAUCACAAAGGGACUUGGAUAAGUAGAAAACAUUCUACAAACUCAAAAAUAUUGAUAUUGAAAAUAUAAUGGACUUAGAAGUCAAAACUACGGGUAUACAUAUCUUACUUAGGAAUAUACAUCAUCAGAGGCUGGGAAAAAGUAAGCAGUGUUAGCUGAGUGGACACUGUUUUCUGAGGGGUAUUUGAAAAAAAAAUCAAAUUGAGAGUUGCUUGGAAAAAUAAAACAUUCUCAGCUAAUUUAAUGUCAACAAAUUUGUGAGCUGGGUGGAACUAAGAGCCUUUUAGCCAACUCACUUUAUUUUACUACUGGAAACUGGGUCAUAGCAAAGAGAAGUUACCUAUCCAGGACCACAGAUGCAAAGAUAUUUCACGGGAGCCCAGGUCAGCUGAAUAUACUGCUUCCAACCCUCUCUGCUAAACCCCGGGAGAAAGCACUCUGUCAAAAGACACCUAGUGAGAAUUCAACAGAGUCCUAUGGAAAAUUGUGCUGCUGUGGGAAAUUAAGAAGAAAUCAAUGGAUAAAGUGCCAGACAUUGGCACAUGAGAUCAUAAGACAAUAAAAACCAGGAUUAACAACCAGGAACAAAAGCUUGUCACAUCCCUGGAGGGCUUUGGCGAGAGGCACGCCAGGACUUAGUAACCGGCUGUUGGAGAGAGUGAAGACGUAGAAAAAAGGCAGGACUGAUGUUGGAAGCUUUACCCAAUGUGAAGGGGUGAUCUCAUGGGACAGUGGCCAGCAGCACGAAGAAGUUCGAGAAACAGUCUCCCAUCCACCACUUGCUACCAUUUGGGGAUAUUCAGAGCUGGAGAACAUAGCACCACAGCAGCAAAAUCCAGACAGUGAUGAUGCCUGAAGUCAGGGAGCCGACAAUGUCAUGGUUCUGGGUGGUCCAUCUGUUUUGGAAUAAGACCCCAGCCAGCAGCUGGAGUUACCAGAAACAGGGUCCAGCUCUUAGGAGAAGAAGCUUGCGAGAACCAGAACCAUCCCUGGCAGAUACUGAAUGCAACAGUGAAGAACAAGUUUCCUGCUAAUGCGCCUAGAAGGCAGAGCAUGAUGGCCCAAGUCCUUGGGUUCCUGCAACCCACAUGAGAAACCUGAAUGGAGUUUCUGACGCCUGGCCGCAGCCCAGAAAAGCCCUGGCUGUUGCAGACAUCUGGGGAGUGAACAAGCAGAUGGAAGAUUCCAGUUUGGAAAGUUCAUGGUCCAAGACCAAGAGGCCUGAGAGGGAUGAUCACAUGGCCAGCCAGGAGGCAGAGGAAGAGGCUGAGCUAACCUUGGUCCAAUAACCCACCAUCUCUCGAGCACUACCUUCUGAGGGCACGUCCCCAGUGACCUAAGAAACUCCCACAGAGCCCAGCUCCCAGAUGUCAUGAUUGCAUCCAGUCUCCACCCCUCGUCCACUUGGGGACCAAACUCCCAACAAUCUUUGUAGUCCAAUUGUAUCAGAGCAGAAAACAGAAAACCAGAAAUGUGCGAUGUUUAUCUAAGGCCACAAAGCCAGAUAGCGGCAGAGACACUGGGGCUCUGUGCCUGCUGCCUUCUACUCUGCCAAACCACCAAGAAGCAUUCCUGGCGGAUAAAUUCACUCCUCAGAGCUCUCCCCAUUUGCUUGUACAUCGAACAGGGCCAUUGCUUCUCCCAAAGAGCUGGAAGCCUACUGCUCCACUGCUGCCCUACAGAUCAGGCUGUGCCAGAGAUUCCCAGCCCCUGACCAUUGCCUCUGGCUCUCUUUGGGACACUGGAGACAGAGGGAUGACAGGGCAGAGCCUGUGGCAUCCCUGCUGAUGAGGAAAUCUCCCGGAUUGCAAAGCCAGCUGUUAACACCAAGGACAGUCAACAGGAGGAACUACAGAGACAGAUGCCUCCAGGCCUCAGUUACGUUGAUUUUGAAAGGGUGUUGAGUGCCAGGGUCCACAACUCACCCUUUGCUUCACUGAGUAAGCCCUACAGCCUGAGGAUUUAAUGGAGACUGACAAGAGUGGGGAUCUUCACAUCAGGAAAAUGUCAGAGACUCAAAAGGCCCCUACAGAAGAAAUGACGCUCAACUGAGAGGAGGAGGGAAGACACAGAGGGAGGAGGGUUGCUGGGUCCUUACCAGGCAAGCUGGUUCCUAUUUAAAGCAUAAAAGAUGAGAAACAUGGGCAUGACAACAAUGACUGUCGUGACUGUUUUAAUUAGAGAAAAAUCAAUAAUACGUGUUAUGGAUGA